AUAGCUCAGUGGUAGAGUGCUUGCCUAGCAUGCAUGAGGUCUUGGGUUCAAUCCCCAGU
rnacentral:tRNA from 1 species